rnacentral:rRNA from 1 species
AACGAACGCUGGCGGCAUGCCUAACACAUGCAAGUCGAACGAGACCUUCGGGUCUAGUGGCGCACGGGUGCGUAACGCGUGGGAACCUGCCCUUAGGUUCGGAAUAACUCCCCGAAAGGGGUGCUAAUACCGGAUAAUGUCUUCGGACCAAAGAUUUAUCGCCUUUGGAUGGGCCCGCGUUGGAUUAGCUAGUUGGUAGGGUAAAAGCCUACCAAGGCGACGAUCCAUAGCUGGUCUGAGAGGAUGAUCAGCCACACUGGGACUGAGACACGGCCCAGACUCCAUCCGGAGCCAGCGUUGCGGAUUAUUGGAGAAUGGGCGUAAGCAUGUACCAGCUAUGCCGCGUGGGUGAUAAAGGCCUUAGGGGUGUAAACCUCUUUUACCUGGGAUGUUAAUGACAGUGCGGUGAGGAUAUGCUCCAGCUCUCUCCGUG